rnacentral:ncRNA from 2 species
AACUAAAUAUGGUCUUAAGGUCCGAAAGGUUAAUAGGGAAAGCGGUGAGAAGCCGCUGCAGCCCCCGCUACUGUAAGCGCUGAUGAGGCUCAAAAAAACCACUGGUGAAACCGGGAAGGUUGAGCUAAAGAUGAGUCGCAAGCCAGGAGACCUGCCUUAAGAUGUAAAAAACA